rnacentral:misc_RNA from 1 species
CCAUGAAGCCCAGCUGGAAGCGCUGCUGGUUGUAGAAGGUCUGGGCGAGGGCGCGGCGGAGCGCGUCGGGCGGCAGCGCGGACUCAUGGCUGUACUGGAGCUGUGAGAAGAGUUCCUGCGGAGAAGAAAUGAAUCAAGAAAAGCCUCCUCAAUUACCCUCGAUUCGCGCACAGAGAGGAGCACACACACGCGGCGAGAGCGACUGUGUCCGUCGGCAGCGGAGUCGACCACUCACUGAGGAAGAGUGAGUGUAGGUGAGUGAGUGGGCGAGCUGCACAUCAGCGACCUGAGGAUGGCUGGCCUGGUCGCACCUGCCUCCACCACCACCAUGCCAUUUCCGUUUUCCUGCCCGCGCCUGGCAGGUGUUGUCCGCACAAUGAGGCUACAUGGGCAUCCAUUGGUCCUCUGUAGGGCCGGAUGAAAAAUUUGCCAAGGUUAUGAUACCGAAAAUUCGCGGAGCAGGUGAACACGCGUCGCCUGCCCGAGAGAGGCGCCCAUUCAUCCGCCGCCGUGGAUGCACCUCCAACGACUCACAAACACCACAACUCUACCUGACGAAAGCGCAGUGCCCGGCUACGCGUUCGGGAAGAAGUUACUGAACGAAUGGAGAAACAAGCAGCGAGGUGAAGCACUCGAUCUUCGCCGUGAUUUCGCCACGAUCUCCUCCACCCCCCCUCCCCCUCCCGCCCGGCCGCCCACAACCCCUCUUUCAAGCAAAGAUACGCCUCACUGGCUGCCCUCGGAUCGUAAAGCAAGCAUGGCGUGAUAUUCCCGCCCAAAAUCCGCUGGCCGGUCUGACGUCACGCCCAGCUUAGCUCCCCACCUCCUGCUUGCGCCCCCCACCCCUCCUCACUCCCCCGGGUGCCCAAACUCCCCCUCCCUGCCCCCUGCCAUAUAAAUCCCACUGCCUGCGGAGCCCAAACACCCACGCAGGGCAGCUCCCUGUCCCUUUGCCUCUCCACUUCCUCUCCCUCUGUCUCCACGAACAAGCAUGAUACCUCUGCAAUUAAUUCGUCAAAUUCACGCAUACCUAGUUCCGCGGAGAUAUUAAUUCCUCAUUUCCCAACAGGCGCGGCUUGGGAUCCUUCGCCUCUCCCUCCCCGACGCCCC